UAUAUAGAAGAAGCAAUUUAAGAUGACCUUAAUUGGCUUAAAUUUAAUAGUCAACCAUGGACUGAAGUGUGUCAUAAAUGGAAAUCAACUUCAAAAUUUAGGUUGAAAUGUUUUCAAUCUGGCACCAAAGACAUUCCAAAUUUUAAACUUCUUUUGGAUCUAAAAGCAGAUGCAUUGGUAAAUAUCGAUUUUACUCAAUUGAGUAUGCAAAAGAAUUAUGAGCAUUGUAGCAACUUUAUGUUUCAAAAAAUUCCACUACAUGCAAAAAAAUUGAUAGGCUUAGUUGCCAAGAAAUAUUCCAUGCAAGAUGGGGUAGAAGAUGAGACAGCUGCUUUUUUGGCUAUUGCGCGAUUGACAUGCUGCAAAUGUUCCAUCCAUUUAUGCUAAGAAGCAAAGAGAAAAUCCUAGACUCCUAGUGUUAAAGAAUGUGGCGAAUCAUUUCUUUUUCUAGCCAAUUCAGUUGAAAAUGCUGAGCAAUCAAUUAAUAACAUCAGGAACUUAUAUAAUGACCUGAAGCUGACACUUCAACCUUUAGUUUAUGCUGUUCCACCAAACAUUGCUGUUGUUGUGUACAACAAUCACAGAUGGUCAUUUAAAACCCCUUUAAAAGCAAUGGAUUUUUCGUUUAAACUGAUUCAAAUCUUGGAUAAGGAAUACAAUAUUGCAAGUUUUCCAGCUUGGAUGUUUUUUCAAAUAUAUAUAUAUAUAUAUAUUGUUUUAAUUGCCCCGAUUUUGACGUAUCAUGCCCAAAAGCAAGUGAAUUGGCUUCUGAGUUGAAUUUAUAAGUUUAGUUGACUGUCUUGAAUUGUUAUAAGUAUAGACUGUAUAGUUGCAUAAUGCGUAAAAAAAAAAAUGUUUGUAGAUGUGGUAAUAAUACAAGCUAAAACAAAUGUAAA